GCAGCUAGCUAGUUUAGUCUACUCAAACACCCGGCUCAAACAGAUGUUAUGUUAGCUAGCUGGCUAUGACUAUCCAACACUGGAACACUUCCAAGUCAAGGAAAUGGAAUCCUGGAUUCUAAGCAGCUGAUUGGUCGGCCCAUCACUAAUUGGAGCUCUGACCCCACCCUCUCGUCAGGGGAUACAGCUGUCUGCAAUUACCGACUCCUUCUGCAGCUUGAAAAGCCAGUGUUCCUUUGUUAGGAGGGAGCUUCUUUGUGUGUGCUGUGUUGGUUGUUGGUCUGGUAAAUUUGUUGAAAGGGAUUUGUAGCUGCUCCUGUAGAGGUAUGUGUAUACCAUAGGACUUAGUGAACAAUUUAAAUAACCAAAAAACUCUAAGUUUGGUGAAUUAUUCUGUUUAAUAUGUUCCCGGGGGGGAAGGGGAAGGCACCUUGAGAGUGUUUAGGCAAGAGGCCUGCGGGCACACAGUUGAAGUUGGAAGUUUACAUACACUUAGGUUGGAGUCAUUAAAACAAAUUUUUCAACCACUCCACACAUUUCUUGUUAACAAACUAUAGUUUGGGCAAAUCGGUUAGGACAUCUACUUUGUGCAUGACGCAAGUCAUUUUUCCAACAAUUGUUUACAGACAGAUUAUUUCACUUAUAAUUCAUUGUUUCACAAUUCCAGUGGGUCAGAAGUUUACAUACACUAAGUUGACUGUGCCUUUAAACAGCUUGGGAAAUUUCAGAAAAUGAUGUCAUGGCUAAUUUACAUCAUUUGAGUCAAUUGGAGGUGUACCUGUGGAUGUAUUUCAAGGCCUACCUUCAAACUCAGUGCCUCUUUGUUUGACAUCAUGGGAAAAUCAAAAGAAAUCAGCCAAGACCUCAGAAAAAAUAUAGAACAUUUGUGGGAAGAACUGAAAAAGCAUGUGCGAGCAAAGAAGCCUACAAACCGACUCAGUUACACCAGCUCUGUCAGGAGGAAUGGGCCAAAAUUCACCCAACUUAUUGUGGGAAGCUUGUGGAAGGCUACACGAAACAUUUGACCCAAGUUAAACAAUUUAAAGGCAAUGCUACCGAAUACUAAUUGAGUGUAUGUAAACUUCUGACCCACUGGGAAUGUGAUGAGAGAAAUUAAAGCUGAAAUAAAUCAAUCUCUCUAUUAUUCUGACAUUUCACAUUCUUAAAAUCAAGUGGUGAUCCUAAC
ensembl:lncRNA